CACCAACUGAACUGAUUAUAACUGUACAAAGUUGACAAGAUUCAAAAGUGGUUUGGGUAAAAGAGACUCAAUCCUAGAGGGGCAUUUGAUUCCAAAAGGGAAGAAGACGUACUUCAUCUGGAACAUCGUGAAGUCACAGAAGAACUUCACAAGUGUUCCGAUCGGAAGGGAGCCCUUUGAGUAAGUGAAAUGAAGCGUGAAUAACUGCCUAAUUAGUGGACAUGAAAACUGGACAGUCUCCAAAGUCAUCAGAGAUGACCACGCUUGCCAGGCAACUUACUAGACUAAGGGCACACAAUGAGCCUCACGUAAGCAUCAGGUACUACAUUUAGGAAGAGAGAUGGUG
rnacentral:lncRNA from 10 species